AUUUAUGCCACAUUUACUUCAUUCACUUCAGGCAGCGACUCUAACGCCUGCUGUCAGGCUUGGCUGGCCAUGAGGGCCAAGUAUGCGAGAGAAUCGAAGAAACAAAGAGGCCGGAGCGGUGCUGGCCGCGAUGGUCUUGCCGUGCCAACAUGGCACCUCUUCAAGUAACUGGCCUUCCUUAAGGGCCAGAUUCAGCACCGACGGUGAUAUGCUACAUCACUUACUGCUAAGAACAAGCACAGUUGAUAUCGGGUCUGAGUUUAAAACAUUUUUACUCUCUUCCAUCAGCACCAAAGUGCUCCCUGUUGCGGGGGGAGUGGCGUCCACUUCUGCAGCGGCAGCAGACGUUGAAAAAUGAGGCGUGAGCCCAGAGGCAAGUUUGCUUACACGAGAUCCUUGCGGAAAUGUAUUGCCCUGGAGAGACCGCAACCCCCGCAGAAAAUAGACAGCCUGGGAUGCCUGCUGAUGCCGAGAUGGAAGACAUACUGGAGCAUGAAGACAUACAUUUUAUUUAACAACAGCCUUCGAUAAGCAUGUUUGCAAGUGGCUCCUGUGUAAUUACCCUUUUCUCACUCUCCUCUUUCAUUUAAGCGAUUGGCUAUUCUUGGAGGCAGGUCCAAA